GCAGGGAAUUUUGCGCAAUGGGCGAAAGCCUGACGCAGCGACGCCGCGUGAGGGAAGAAGGCCUUCGGGUUGUAAACCUCUUUUCUGGGGGAAGAGCAAGGACGGUACCCCAGGAAUAAGCCCCGGCUAACUACGUGCCAGCAGCCGCGGUAAUACGUAGGGGGCGAGCGUUGUCCGGAAUUACUGGGCGUAAAGGGCGCGUAGGCGGCCCAAAAAGUCUCCGGUGAAAUCUCCCGGCUUAACUGGGAGCGGUCCGGGGAAACUCUUGGGCUUGAGGACAGCAGAGGAGAGUGGAAUUCCCGGUGUAGUGGUGAAAUGCGUAGAUAUCGGGAGGAACACCAGUGGCGAAGGCGGCUCUCUGGGCUGUACCUGACGCUAAGGCGCGAAAGCGUGGGGAGCAAACCGGG
rnacentral:rRNA from 1 species